rnacentral:misc_RNA from 1 species
UUGACCCAAAAUAAAAAUAUGCUAUACUAAAAGUGCGAAACGACAUUAAAUCGUACAGAUAACACAAAAAGCAAUCCUACGGCGAAUAGGAUUGCUUUUUUUU